AACGGUGGCUAAUACCGGAUAUGCCUGAGGGUGAAAGGUUAACUGCCUGAAGAUGAGCUCGCGUCUGAUUAGCUAGUUGGUGGUGUAAGGGACUACCAAGGCGACGAUCAGUAGCUGGUCUGAGAGGAUGAUCAGCCACACUGGAACUGAGACACGGUCCAGACUCCUACGGGAGGCAGCAGUGGGGAAUUUUCCGCAAUGGGCGAAAGCCUGACGGAGCAAUACCGCGUGAGGGAGGAAGGCUCUUGGGUUGUAAACCUCUUUUCUCAGGGAAUAAGUACUGAAGGUACCUGAGGAAUCAGCAUCGGCUAACUCCGUGCCAGCAGCCGCGGUAAUACGGAGGAUGCAAGCGUUAUCCGGAAUGAUUGGGCGUAAAGCGUCCGUAGGUAGCAGUGUGUGUCUAUUGUUAAAGAGUUUGGCUUAACCAAAUAAAGGCGGUAGAAACUACACAGCUAGAGUGCGUUCGGGGCAGAGGGAAUUCCUGGUGUAGCGGUGAAAUGCGUAGAGAUCAGGAAGAACACCGGUGGCGAAAGCGCUCUGCUAGGCCGCAACUGACACUGAGGGACGAAAGCUAGGGGUAA
rnacentral:rRNA from 1 species